rnacentral:rRNA from 1 species
GAUGAACGCUGGCGGCGUGCCUAAUACAUGCAAGUCGAGCGAACAGACGAGGAGCUUGCUCCUCUGACGUUAGCGGCGGACGGGUGAGUAACACGUGGAUAACCUACCUCUAAGACUGGGAUAACAUCGGGAAACCGGAGCUAAUACCGGAUCAUAUAUUGAACCGCUUGGUUCAAUAGUGCAAGACGGCUUUGCUGUUACUUAUAGAUGGUUCCGCGCCGCAUUAGCUAGUUGGUAAGGUAACGGCUUACCAAGGCGACGAUGCGUAGCCGACCUGAGAGGGUGAUCAGCCACACUGGAACUGAGACACGGUCCAGACUCCUACGGGAGGCAGCAGUAGGGAAUAUUCCGCAAUGGGCGAAAGCCUGACGGAGCAACGCCGCGUGAGUGAUGAAGGUCUUCGGAUCGUAAAGCUCUGUUAUUAGGGAAGAACAAAUGUGUAAGUAACUAUGCACGUCUUGACGGUACCUAAUCAGAAAGCCACGGCUAACUACGUG